UGAAAGAACUCAGCUCCAUCAUUAGAGCAUGAGACUCUUAAUUUCAGGGUCGUGGGUUUGAGUCCCACUCUGGGCGAAA